rnacentral:rRNA from 1 species
UACGAAGGGGGCUAGCGUUGCUCGGAAUCACUGGGCGUAAAGGGUGCGUAGGCGGCUUUCUAAGUCGGGGGUGAAAUCCUGGAGCUCAACUCCAGAACUGCCUUCGAUACUGGAAAGCUCGAGUCCGGGAGAGGUGAGUGGAACUGCGAGUGUAGAGGUGAAAUUCGUAGAUAUUCGCAAGAACACCAGUGGCGAAGGCGGCUCACUGGCCCGGUACUGACGCUGAGGUGCGAAAGCGUGGGGAGCAAACAGGGAUUAA